UCACCCCCAGUCUGUUUUCUAUGGAGCAGUGGCAUGAUCUGCAGUCAUUUUGUUUUUCAUCUGUCAGCAGCCCCUCCUGGACCCACGGAGAAAGGACUCGCACCCAUUUUGUCCAGGGCAGUGCCUGGCACGAAGCAGACAGGUGCUUGUCAGACAGGCAGCCAGGUUGUGACAGCCUGUGAGGACCCCUUGGCUCCCGGAGCCUUCCCUCUCCUGGAAUAGAGACGACACUGUGCCAUCAUUGAACUCACCUGAAAAAACGAUCUGUUGCAAAGCUCACAGGAAGUAAUGGAGCAACGUUACAUGAUAAACUGUAAAGUGUGGUGAGCACGUGAACAAGUGUCCAGGACCCAGCGAAGCCCCAGGCUACUGGGCUUGAAGUCAGAGGAGAAAAGGAAAGGGCAGCCUGCUGUAGGAUCUAAGGCCUCCAUGUGCUUAGCCCAUGGCUGUCGUCAUGGUGACGUGUGCACACGAUGUAUCUGAGCCAGCCUUGUUCUUGAACGCGGGCAGUGAAUCCCACGGUGAUGUGGCAUGUCGCGAGCUGGAGGAGGGGCGCCCGCAUGGAGGCUUGUGAACCAGCUAGACAGCCUUUGGACCUUUUGGAGCCUCAGUUUCCCACACUGAGAAUUGGAGUGGAAUUCCCAGGGUGCUGGAGGUUGAAAGGCAUUGAGAAUCUAAAACACUUUGCAGACAGCAAGACCCUCUGUGUGAGUUAAGAAUUCUCACUCAAUCCCAGCAGGCACUCAGAGGGAUCCUUUAAUUUCUCCAGAAUAUUCUGCAGGUGAGCUGGGGAAGCCCACUGGCCCUGGCCUCACCCCCGAGCCCCAGCCUUCAGCCUGGGAAUGGUCUGGCCUCUUCCUUGCCGGCCCACCAGACUGGCCUCGCAGGACCCUGGGCGGGAACCCAGGAACCCUCAGCCGUGCCACCCGCUAUGUGCUUCCCCAAGAAGCGCUCCCUGUGGCCUAAUUUGAGAAAACAAUGGGCCUCAAUCCAUAUGAAUGACCCUCAAGAGACCCUUUGUCCGCGGUGCACAGCCUAUAAUCAGCGGGGCUCUGGGGGCUCUGGCCUAAUUUGGAGGGACAGGUUUUAUCAUCACCCUUGAUUCGGGUGACCCAAUCUGACAGGCCCACGACCCCCUGUAUGCAGGGUCCACGUCAGAGAUGGGCUUCCUCCCAGCGGCCCACCCUGGCGGGCUGGGGAGAGGGAAGGGGGAGGUGGUGGUCAUGGGGGAAGUUUGGGGUGAAGAAGGGGUCACAGCCAGACCCCUGCUUGGAUGGGCCUGUGAUCGGGGUCUCGGGAGGAGCAGGAUAUUGAUUAGAUCAGUGAAUGGUGUGGAGGCAGCUCUCCCUGGGCACGCGCUCCCGACCACCCACCAGCAAGCGUCUGUUGCCUGCCGGCGCCAGGGCUGGGUGGGGACUCUGGGACAGGCUGGCCGCCCGGGAGGGGCCAGGCAGGAGCCAAGGGGCUGGCUCCAGGGACUGCCAGCAGGGCCCCAGGGAAGGGGAGCUGGGAAGCGUUUGGGCUGCCUCCGGCCUGAAGUCGCGGAAACGUGUUUGCAGGUUAGGGCCGUGGCAUCCUGGUUGCACCAUUUAAGCGUCUAUGGGGUGCCAGACAGAUGACAAACGGCCACCUCAUUUAAUGCUUCCCUCAACCUUCCCAGGCCCCGAUCCCUACGUUCUGGGUCAGGAGGCCCAUUCUAGGUCAAGGGGUGGGUGAAGGUUGGCGAGACAAACCCAGGGACUAGCUCCUGAGCCCCAAAACCUGUCCUUACCCACCCAGGAGUCCCCUGCACGCUCUCCAGGGUGUGCAGUGCGUGGCUGCUGGGUUUGGGUGCAUUAGAGCCUGAGGCGAGGGUUUGAGUCUGAAUUCUUGCUACAGACGGAAUGUGUGCAUCCUCCCCAAAUCCAUAUGUUGAAGCCUCAACUCCCAAUGCGAUGGCAUUUGGAGAGGGGGCCUGUGGAACGUAGUUGAGUCCUGAGGGUGCGGCCCCGUGAUGAAAUUAGUGCCCUGAUAAGAAGAGGCCCAGAGAACCAGCUCUCUCUCUGCUCUCUGCCGCACAAGGACCCCACAAGAAGAUGGCCACCGGCAAACAGCCAUUGAAUCUGCCAGUGACUUGGCCGUGGACUUCCAGCCUCCAGAACUGUGAGAAAUAAGCGUUUGCUAUUUAAACUGCGCAGUCUGUGGUGGUGUUUUGGCAGUCUGAACUGACGGAGACAGCAUCUGAUUUGGGAAGUGACCCUGGGAAGCAACGGGAGGGGAUGAGUCUGCUUCCAGGGGGCUGGGCUGGGUUCAGGCUCUCGGUUUGCGUGAGGCCUUUCUGCUUCCUGGGGCCGGCAGCUGCUGGGCAACUGCUCUCAGCGUUGGCUCUGUGCAAGGACAACUCAAACCUGCUCCCGUCACUGCUGCCCCUGGCCCGUUGGCUGGAGCCCAGCCUCUGUGGGGAAGGAGGUGCGCAUGUCCAGGUGAGGAACAGCAAAGUCACACAGCAGAGGGCGUGGAUCCAGGAGUGGGGAAGGCCUGGGAACCAUGGCACCAUCCAUCACGCCAUCCUGCAGGUUUCCUCACUUGCUUUGGGGACAACCCUGAACUCCUCAAGGAGGGAAGGAAGGGCUCCUGGACUUAUCCCUCCCUGGCCACCUCUGGCUGUGCCAUCCUGACACAUGGGUUCAGGCUUCUGUCUCCUCCAGGACCACCACCCUGCUGUGCCCAUCCUGCCAAAUCCUGUGUGUGAUUUUUGCCCAGGGUCCCCUCAUCCAAGAAGCCUUCUUGGACCCCACCGUUGGGGCAGAACACCCCUUGUGUCCCCCAAAAGCACCUUCCACAGAGCUCCUGUGCAGCAUUGCCUCCACUCCCACCUCUGAGGCUUCUUUGUGCUCACCUCGCCUGCCGGAUCACGAGCUUUGGGGCUCGGCAAAUUCUGCUAGGCCCUGGGGGCAGCAAGGUAAGCAAAGUAAAUAAUAAUAAAUCAUAAACAAGAUCACUUAAA